UGGGGAAUAUUGCACAAUGGGCGCAAGCCUGAUGCAGCCAUGCCGCGUGUAUGAAGAAGGCCUUCGGGUUGUAAAGUACUUUCAGCGGGGAGGAAGGGAGUAAAGUUAAUACCUUUGCUCAUUGACGUUACCCGCAGAAGAAGCACCGGCUAACUCCGUGCCAGCAGCCGCGGUAAUACGGAGGGUGCAAGCGUUAAUCGGAAUUACUGGGCGUAAAGCGCACGCAGGCGGUUUGUUAAGUCAGAUGUGAAAUCCCCGGGCUCAACCUGGGAACUGCAUCUGAUACUGGCAAGCUUGGGUCUCGUAGAGGGGGGUAGAAUUCCAGGUGUAGCGGUGAAAUGCGUAGAGAUCUGGAGGAAUACCGGUGGCGAAGGCGGCCCCCUGGACGAAGACUGACGCUCAGGUGCGAAAGCGUGGGGAGCAAACAGG
rnacentral:rRNA from 1 species